CUUUGCAUUCGGAAGCGAGCCAAUUAGCGUAGGGAAGUGGCUACAUAAAUUGUAACUUUUAAUUUGAAGGCUGACGUCAUAGCUGCAUACUGUUGGUUGUCCACCUGACUCCUGCCUUCACCGCGGGAUCCCUUGUGCUCUUUUGGCUUUCUGCUCACUGUGCAUGCAUCCAGUGACAUUCCUGGAUUGCUGUCGGCUGCUGAACAUGGGCCUCAUAGCCGACCUCAGCUGAUUGCAGAGCUUGCGGUAACACAAGGAGCGGCAACAUCAAGGCAUCUUGGUUCAAGUUCCGAACGCCGCUGUUUUGUUUUGUCCGCGCCCAAGUUGUGUUAGUCCAUUUUAAACCUUCCACACGGGAGAACUGUACAACGGACGCUCUCGUCCUGUUUUAUUCUGUCUGAAAGUGCCCUUGAACGCCCUGCGUGUUAAGUGUCCAUAGAAGCUGUGGUUGCUAAAUUAAUGAACGUUUGUGUUUUUAUUGUAAGUUGUCUCCAGAGUGUGAGUACAUAUACGAUGUAUGGUGUGUAUUAGAAUUAGGGGC